ensembl:processed_transcript
CUUUCCGGUGAGGGAACCUCUCUCCAGACAUGAUCAAGAGAAACUGGCGAGGGACUGACACGAUCUAGCUUACCUUGGGUCACCGAACGGAUUUGAACUCAUGUGAGAAUAUAUCUCUGUUGUAUUCAAAAGGCAUGUGACAUAAUUAUCCCAGCGAUCACUAAAACUGUAAAUUUGGAUGCAAUUAAGAGAGAAAACUCCACACAUUUAUGGAAAUUUAAGUGAUGGAAUGUAAUCCAGAAUGUACUUUUUUAUUUCUGAAAUCUCUGUAAAACAGUACAAUAGAAAAAUAAAAACUAAAGACAUAAUUGAGGAAAUCCAACAUCCCAAAAAAAAAAGGAAUUCUAGAAAGAGGAGGCUUCGUGUAUACCAGCUGGCCUUGAGUUCACCCUGUAGCUCACUUCCUGAUCUCCAGACUUUCCCUCCAAGUGCUGAUAUUCGAGUCCAGUGGCACUAAACGUGUGGAGUAGUUUUAAUCAAAAUGUGUUCUUUGUGCUUAUUAUCUUACAGUUUUUCUAUAAUAUUCUAAUAGUAUAAAAAAGAUCUCAAGAUUUGCCACAUCUUAGGCUAUCUUUGUUCUAUUAAAUUGUAACAAUGAAAAAAAUGUCCGUUUUGAGACACAGAUAUGCUUCUGUGAGAGGCUUGCUAAGGCUAGGAACACAGUGGAAGCUAAAACUGUAUUGAAGAACUACCCAGAGAAGAAACACUUGAUGCAAUUUUUGACUCCUAAGCACAACACCAACUAUUGUGGGUGUCACAUAAUUUCUUACUCUUAUGCACUGUAUGAAGUUAAAAGCCAGUUUAAAAUUAUCACUAGUAAAUCUGUAAAAAAUAUUUUAUUAAAAUUCUCAACC